rnacentral:rRNA from 1 species
GAUGAACGCUGGCGGCGUGCCUAAUACAUGCAAGUCGAGCGAACGGACGAGAAGCUUGCUUCUCGGAUGUUAGCGGCGGACGGGUGAGUAACACGUGGAUAACCUACCUAUAAGACUGGGAUAACUUCGGGAAACCGGAGCUAAUACCGGAUAAUAUUUUGAACCGCAUGGUUCAAAAGUGAAAGACGGUCUUGCUGUCACUUAUAGAUGGAUCCGCGCUGCAUUAGCUAGUUGGUAAGGUAACGGCUUACCAAGGCAACGAUGCAUAGCCGACCUGAGAGGGUGAUCGGCCACACUGGAACUGAGACACGGUCCAGACUCCUACGGGAGGCAGCAGUAGGGAAUCUUCCGCAAUGGGCGAAAGCCUGACGGAGCAACGCCGCGUGAGUGAUGAAGGUCUUCGGAUCGUAAAACUCUGUUAUUAGGGAAGAACAUAUGUGUAAGUAACUGUGCACAUCUUGACGGUACCUAAUCAGAAAGCCACGGCUAACUACGUG